rnacentral:lncRNA from 1 species
CUUCUGGGAGGUGUGCAUCAAUAAAUCAACCUGUGCAUGCUAUUAAUCAACAGUUUCCCUGAAGUCUGGCCAGCGAAAUUCAGGCUUGUUGUCUAAGUGAGUAGGUCUGACGUUCUCGGAGCAGAGAACACAGGAGACACAGUUCAGCCCGCAAGAUGAAUAAAACCACAAUCACAACAAGAGCACAACUAGAGGAACGAUUAAUUGUCAGAUUGUGAGAGUCUCCCUUGGUUCACCAGGGCUUUCAAAAGGACAGGUAAGACUAGCCAGUUUGCCCCAAAAAUAGGCCAAACGAGACUGGAAGGGCUUGAGCACUAGAAGUUCAAGGCUCUGACCCUGGGAGGCUGAGGCUAAGAUGGUUCUAGGACUGGUUCCCUCUGAGGCUGUGAGCAAGACUGUUUAACUCCUGUCUCGCUUCUGCUGGCGACUAGCAUUUGUUUGUGUCUGCUAGUCUCUACCGUUGAAACAACCACAUCUGCACAGACCCCGUUCCAAGCAAGGUUGCAUUCUGAGGUACGGAGGUCUAGGAGUUCAAUCCAUGAAUUAUGGAUGGCGACACAUAAUUUAACCCAUAGCAUAACCAGAAGCGGGUUCCACAUAUGGAUCACGCACAGGAUCUUCUUUUGCCAGUCCACACAGAUCGCCAACGAGUCUUCCCGAAAACGACUUGCACUCCCCCGGCCCCGCCCUUCGAGGUGGUAGCCGGCCUCACCUUAUCUUACUUGCAACUCAGGUGUGACUGGCCCCACCCUGGGUAAGAGGUUACUGUGAGCAACCAACACUGGGAGAUCAUGGAGGAAUGGGGCCAAGAAGGGACCUCAGGAUAAAAAUAGCUCCAGCAGUAGGGGUAGGUGGCGUGUGACCAGAUGACCUUUGCCCUUUGAGACUUUGAAAGUCACCAGGUUGGGAUGACUCAGCUCUCCGCUCAUCACCUUGGGGAAGAGUGACCGUACAUGGGGGGGGCGGGUCACUUCUCUUUUCCUUCCUCCCCUGGCAGCUCUUCUGGAGCUUCCAGAAGCCUGAAGAGGAUCCCAUGACGACACUGAUGUAAUCCUGUGUGCCCUGUAAAAGGGGGGUGGUGGAUCAGAACUGAACUGUCUUUCAAAGCAGGCUUUGGACUGAGCGCUCUGGACCCAUUAAUGCAAGGUCUGACUCUUCCAGACUGAGAGACUGCUGAAGGAAGAAGCAGUGACCCACGGCUGAGUACAGUGGCCAGGGUUCCAGGGUACACAUCUGUCAAUUCACCCCUCUGGAGGCAUGGGCUGCUGGAAGUGAGUUCCGUGAGAAACUGUUUGGUAUAAUCCGUGAAUACUGAGAGAACUGUAGGCUGUCUGUGGGGAAGAGGGAGCAGGUGUUGCCCUCUCGCCUGUGAAUCACUAGGGAGGUGAAAGAGUUCAUACAGCCAACCAGGAAGCAGUCACUCUGACAAGCCAAGCGAAGAGAUGUUUGGCCACCUGCAUCUGACUUCUAGAUCGGCUUCUGUUCUUGGGACCAGCAAUGCUUGAAUGAAAAGCUCUGCUGAUUGCCUGCUGCAGAGAAGCCUGGACCCACAGGGCACCGGGCAUGAAGGAAAGCAAGCGGUUCCGUGUUGAAGGCAAGGGUCUCUGUCCUGCAGCAGGUAUGCAGAAAGUCGCCUCCGUGGUGGAAGGGUCUGAGUGGUAUAGACCCCAUAGCACAGCCUCCUUCGCCUCACACUCUCCGUGAUCUCCCCAGUCUCCUCUGAACAGCCAUAAAGCUAGUCAUUAAAAUGUGCCUCAAGGUCGGCAAUCAAUCUCAAGGGGGUUUUAGUUUAUUGUCUGGAGGAGGAAGCCUUCCACUGCCUCUCUUGUCACUGAAGAGGCAUCACAUAAAGGACCCUUUAAUCUCACCCAGACAUCUCAUGGGGCACCAUGGCGAGUAAGUCCCCUCCCUGGCAAACACACGGGCUCGUUAACAGGGACCUUUACCACCAGUGACACAAUGGAACUUUCUUUAUAAGGGUUGAAAGGGCACAGGAGUUGCAAAAUGUCUUAAGGGCCAUGAAUUGUAGACUCCUUCCUGCCCCUCUGCCUGGGGUCAAAUGUGGGGACACUCAUGCAUCGGUGCUAUGCCUCCUAUCCACUGUGCACCUUGCUCAUAGGUAUGUGGCCCUGUCAGAUUUCUCUGUCCAGGACCAUGUCUCUGUCUUGCCUGAUAUCCCCACUGGUGUGUCUCUCACAGUGCGGUGUAGUAUGAGGACACUCAGUGUGAAGAAUGUAAGCCACAGGGAGCCAGCUAAGGAACAUAGAAUCCUUGAGUUCACUCUGACUCAACACUGGGGUUUUGGGCCUUGUAGGAUACUUAGCAGUAUCCCUGAUCUCCACCAGUGUGAUACCAACAGCAGCCUGCCAACCUGCUGGACAACCAAAACUGUCCCCAUACAUUGCUCUGGGACAAAUUACCUGGCUGUGCCAACAGUGUGCAUGGCAGAAGUCUGUGUACAGAGAGCAUCAGAGAGCAGACACUGAUGUUUGGGAUGCCCACGGGACCUUGUCUGGAGAUGGAGGUGGGGAUGUGUGUGGUACCUUUCCCACACUCUCCACGGAAGCUCUUUGUCAUUCCUCUUUAGAAGGUGUCAGGAAAAGGGGGGCUGCUGUGGUCAGAACCCUUGCUAUUUUAUUAUUAGCUAUUACGAAGCACCGAAAGCCCCGAACUUGGCUGAAGUGCCCUCUUGAGACAAGUUAUGGGAUGUGGGAUGACUGUCUGUUUUCAGCGUCCAGCACGCAGGGAUUGGGGCAAGCCCAUCAGCCUAAGAUGGCGAAAACUAUGGUGCCAGCACCCAUUACAUCAAUUUGUGAGAAAACUACGCAAUAA